rnacentral:rRNA from 1 species
CAGUAGCCGCGGGAACACGUAGGGUGCAAGCGUUAAUCGGAAUUACUGGGCGUAAAGCGUGCGCAGGCGGUUUGUUAAGACGGAUGUGAAAUCCCCGGGCUCAACCUGGGAACUGCAUUCGUGACUGGCAAGCUAGAGUAUGGCAGAGGGGGGUGGAAUUCCACGUGUAGCAGUGAAAUGCGUAGAGAUGUGGAGGAACACCGAUGGCGAAGGCAGCCCCCUGGGCCAAUACUGACGCUCAUGCACGAAAGCGUGGGGAGCAAACAGGAUUAGAUACCCCAGUAGUCCCUGUCUCUUAUAC